UACAGAGGUCUCAAGCGUUGUUCGGAUUCAUUGGGCGUAAAGGGUGCGUAGGCGGCGCGGUAAGUCGGGUGUGAAAUCUUGGAGCUUAACUCCGAAACUGCAUUCGAUACUGCCGUGCUUGAGGACUGGAGAGGAGACUGGAAUUUACGGUGUAGCGGUGAAAUGCGUAGAUAUCGUAAGGAAGACCAGUGGCGAAGGCGGGUCUCUGGACAGUUCCUGACGCUGAGGCACGAAAGUGUGGGGAUCAAACAGG
rnacentral:rRNA from 1 species